AAAAAUCUGCCGCCGGGUAGAUAAAAGCAUUUGUCAGCAUAUCGUAAGGCCUUAGAAGAUGUGCAGGCAGGUGCCAUUUUUUU
rnacentral:ncRNA from 1 species